GAAGAGCCUGUGGGGGCCGCUCAGCAAGAAGGAAAUUCAGUGGCGCAUCUGCCCACAUUCUGGAAGGACCCCUGGUCCCCUUCUGUCAGCCCUCCCACCUGCCUCCCUCCUCGUGCCGCUCCUCUGAUCCCUCACUCCACUCCGGCUCCUGCGGCGCUGACGGAGCGGGGUGGGGGGAGUUGCUGCGUCUGGGGGUGUAAGAACCUUAGAUGUCACGGAGCUUGGAAUUGUGCCAACGGGCAGGCUGAAGGGGCCUUAAAGUGCUGCCAAGCCCUCCUCAUGCCACACCAGCUUCCCUGCAGAGCCAGGAGCCCAUGGCUGCGAUCAGAUGACUGCUUCCUGCGUCUAGCUUUUCUCAUUGCAGUUUUUUCCAGAUGGGGACCCCGAUGUCUGCCCUGUGGGCUGGAGCAGGCGGCGACUCUGUCCUGGCUGUGAGAUCUCCUCCACCGCCCCUGACUCCUACCCUGUCAGGCCCACCCCCAGUCUCUUAUCACCGCUGGAGGGGAAUCUGAGCAAUCCCCUACGGGGUGACAACCUGCAACUACAUGGCAUCGUGCACGUGGAUCCACUGCAGCAUGGAGCGGGGUCUGCAUCAGGAAAGACACUCCUCCUCUUCCCCCGGCCGCAGGCUGGAGUGCAGUGGCGUGAUCUCGGCUCGCUACAACCUCCA
rnacentral:lncRNA from 1 species